AUUUUAUUCACGUUUAAACCUUGUUCGUGGAUCGAAGCGGGUAAACAUGCAAGUCGAGUCGCCGAGCAUAAACAUCAAAUAGCUAUAGGUAUUUGAAUUAUAAAUUGUAGGUAUAAAAUUGUAUUCAUUAUCACCAAACUUAAAUAAAGGCAAAGGAGAUUUAAAUGGUGCCAUUUCGUCAUAAUUUAUGUUAAUAAAAUGUUUUUUAAACAAUUUUGUCAUUAAAAUAUUUACCUAAAAUAUAUACAAGUAUAAAGAGGGUUUUCAAGUUGAACAAGUUCUGGACCCUUUAUCCGGUCAUAAAUUAUAUUAUUUUAUCAAAAAUAUAGUAUUAGGAACUUUUUACUUAUUUCUAUACUAAUAUAAUUUACAAAUAACAAUAAAAAUUCAUAUUUGUUUAUAAUUGUCAUAAUAUGUUAUUAUUAUUUCCGAAAUAAUAAUAUAAAUAAUAUUAUCGUCGUUUAAAUAUUUGACUUUUGUGUGUUGUUGAUUAGGUAUUAACACCAAAAAUCACAUUUACAAUAUUUUAUAGUCCUUGAACAAUAGACAUUGUUACAAGUCUGAUAAUAUUAUUAUUUUUACUCAGAUGACCUGUCAAAGAGUGCGUACCUGAGUAUUAUUAGUCGUACAUAUUUGUUUUAAAUAAUAUUAGAUUGUGUUUAAUAUGCAUCUGAUAAAUUGCUUGUAUUUUUGAAAUGUGGUUUUAGACAUUUUUGUAUCGACUUUUUAAUCAUUUAAAAUAAUCGUGUAAAAAUAAUAUUCAUUAUUAAGCUGAGUGCUAAAAACUGUAAAAAAAUCUUCAGGUUUUAUUAUAGUAUAUAGUAAACAGAAAUUAAAUAGUAGGCAAUAAAUAAUAAUAAUCUAAAUGUUAUUAGGUACUUAUUUAAUAAAACCUAUACAUUUCAAUGAGAUCAUUUGUUAUUUUGCCUUUACAAAAAAUAAAUUUAACUGUCCUGUAAAUUAUAAAUACAACAUUGACGUUUUGAAUCAAAAAUAAAAAAAUAUAAAUUGAUUGUCAGUAAACGUUUUGUAUUGAAAUAUAUUUUUUACUUUAUAUAAUAUACUACAACCAUUUACAACUAGAAUGAAUAACUAAAUACUUUUAAAACAGAUGUGUAAAUAUUUUUUGAAAUUUUAUUUCUUUUAUAUUUAUUUUUUUUUUGUACCUAUUAGUUCAUUUCAUGUGAGUCAUAUUAUUUUGUCUACAAAAUUUAUUACCAAAUUUUACAUAUUAUAUACCUAUAGCUGUACAACAUUAUAUUAUUAUUAAUUUUAUUUUAUUUGUCAAGUUUUAUUGUAGCUGUCUGAAUAGAUGUCAAUUUAGGUACGAAUAUCGUAUAAAAGUUACACCGGUCGAUACCGGUGUAACUUUUAUAAUAUUGAAAUAUAAUGUUAUGAUAACAAAAUAUCUCGAAACAAUAUUCAUUUUUUUUUCAAAAAACCACUAAAAGUUUUGUUUUCAAUAACAAUAUGUCAAUCAGUGAAUUCGAAAAAUUAUUUUGUUCUAAACUUAUAUCAGCCAUUGCUGUGAUAUAUUGUGAAAUAACAAUAUUGAGAAAAAACAAUUAUUUUAUGUUAUACCUUAUACAUUAUAAUGUGCGCACUGUAAGUAACUUUAAAGUUACGCACGUAAAAAUAUACCUAUUAUUAUUAUUAUUAUUAUUAUUCAUUCAAUGUAAAAAGCUAUUUUCUUCGUUCUAUAUAAAAUAUGAUAUUGUUUAUAAUAUGUAUACAGAGUGCCCCACGAUUAUAUACCCAUUGUUAUAUCUCCGGAGAUGAUUCUUUUUUUUUAUAUUACAGGGAUAAGGAUUGCAAAUAUUUAUAUUGCAAUUCAUUUUUUUUUUUUGCUUUAUAAACGCUUAAAAAAACAACUUUUUAUUUUAUUAUUUUUGAAAAAUUUGAAGAUACACUCUGUAUGUAUAUAUAUUAAAUGUUUCUUUAUUUAAAUCAAACCUCAUAAUAUAAAAAUACUAUUUGCACGAAUAUCUCUGAUAUAUAAUAAUUUACUGACGCACAUUAUUAUUUCAGAUGUGGUGUUGGAAAUAUGGUGGGCGCUGGUUCACGGAGAAUCGAGUGAAUAAGAUAAUAAACGUUAUGCGCAGUAAGCAUCAUACUCUUGUUUUUAUUCCGUCAAGGUCACCAGUAUGGGAAUUCACAAAAUGCAGGUAAAAUUAGGGUUAACAUUGAACUAUGUAUUCUUGUAUACCUAAUAGUUUAUAUUUAUAAUGUAAUCACAGC
rnacentral:lncRNA from 1 species